AUUGAACGCUGGCGGCAUGCUUUACACAUGCAAGUCGAACGGCAACGGGUCCUUCGGGAUGCCGACGAGUGGCGAACGGGUGAGUAAUAUAUCGGAACGUGCCCAGUAGCGGGGGAUAACUGCUCGAAAGAGCAGCUAAUACCGCAUACGACCUGAGGGUGAAAGGGGGGGAUCGCAAGACCUCUCGCUAUUGGAGCGGCCGAUAUCAGAUUAGCUAGUUGGUGGGGUAAAGGCCUACCAAGGCAACGAUCUGUAGUUGGUCUGAGAGGACGACCAGCCACACUGGGACUGAGACACGGCCCAGACUCCUACGGGAGGCAGCAGUGGGGAAUUUUGGACAAUGGGCGCAAGCCUGAUCCAGCAAUGCCGCGUGCAGGAAGAAGGCCUUCGGGUUGUAAACUGCUUUUGUCAGGGAAGAAAUCUUCUGGGCUAAUACCCCGGGAGGAUGACGGUACCUGAAGAAUAAGCACCGGCUAACAACGUGCCAGCCGCCGCAGUAAGAC
rnacentral:rRNA from 1 species